UGGUGGAGCGAUUUGUCUGGUCAAUUCCGUUAACGAACGAGACUCUAGCCUACUAAAUAGUUCGGGGACCCCCACAAAGGGGCCCCGCUUCAACUUCUUAGAGGGACAGGUGGCGUUUAGCCACACGAGAUUGAGCAAUAACA
rnacentral:rRNA from 1 species